rnacentral:pre_miRNA from 1 species
UGAUGAUGAUGAUGAUGAUGAUGAUGAUGAUGAUGAUGAUAACGACGAUGACAACGAUGAUGAUGAUCAACGUCAUCAUCAUCAUCAUUAUCUGUC